rnacentral:rRNA from 1 species
CCCGACUGCUAUUUGGGUGAGAAUAAGCCAUGCGAGUUGAAUGGGAUACCUAAAGUUCCCAUAGCAAACUGCUCAGUAACACAUGAUCAACUUACCCUAUAGAGAAAAAUAACCUCGGGAAACUGAGGAUAAUGUUUCAUAAUUGAAUUGGCUUGGAAAAGUUUUUCAAUGAAAAGGAUAAAAAAAAUGGUUUUUAUCUGCUAUAGGAUAGGAUCGUGUUCGAUUAUGGUUGUUGGUGAGAUAAUGGCUCACCAAGCCGAUAAUCGAUAGGGGCCGUGAGAGCGGGAGCCCCGAGAUGGGUACUGAGACAACGACCCAGGCCUUACGAGGCGCAGCAGGCGCGGAACCUCCGCAAUACACGAAAGUGUGACGGGGUUACCCAAAGUGUUCAAUUUGAACUGUGGUAGGUGAGUAAUGUCCCCUACUAGAAAGGAGAGGGCAAGGCUGGUGCCAGCCGCCGCGGUAAAACCAGCUCUUCAAGUGGUCGGGAUAAUAUUGGGCUUAAAGUGUCCGUAGCCGGUUUAGUAAGUUCCUGGUAAAAUCGGGUAGCUUAACUAUCUGCAUGCUAGGAAUACUGCUAUACUAGAGGGCGGGAGAGGUCUGAGGUACUGCAGGGGUAGGGGUGAAAUCUUAUAAUCCUUGUAGGACCACCAGUGGCGAAGGCGUCAGACUGGAACGCGCCUGACGGUGAGGGACGAAAGCCAGGGGAGCGAACCAGAUUAGAUACCCGGGUAGUCCUGGCCGUAAACGAUGCAUACUAGGUGAUGGUACGGCCAUGAGCCGUAUCAGUGCCGUAGGGAAACCGUUAAGUGUGCCGCCUGGGAAGUACGGUCGCAAGGCUAAAACUUAAAGGAAUUGGCGGGGGAGCACCACAACGGGGUGAAGCCUGCGGUUCA